GGAGAUGUGGCAGAGUGGUCGAUCGCGCACCCCUGCUAAGGGUGUAAGGGUCUUAAAGCCCUUCGAGGGUUCAAAUCCCUCCAUCUCCG
rnacentral:tRNA from 1 species